AUUGAACGCUGGCGGCAUGCUUUACACAUGCAAGUCGAACGGUAACAGGCCGCAAGGUGCUGACGAGUGGCGAACGGGUGAGUAAUGCAUCGGAACGUGCCCAGUCGUGGGGGAUAACGCAGCGAAAGCUGCGCUAAUACCGCAUACGAUCUCUGGAUGAAAGCGGGGGACCGAAAGGCCUCGCGCGAUUGGAGCGGCCGAUGUCAGAUUAGGUAGUUGGUGGGGUAAAGGCCCACCAAGCCAACGAUCUGUAGCUGGUCUGAGAGGACGACCAGCCACACUGGAACUGAGACACGGCCCAGACUCCUGCGGGAGGCAGCAGUGGGGAAUUUUGGACAAUGGGCGCAAGCCUGAUCCGGCAAUGCCGCGUGCAGGAAGAAGGCCUUCGGGUUGUAAACUGCUUUUGUACGGAACGAAACGGUCCGGGUUAAUACCCUGGGCUAAUGACGGUACCGUAAGAAUAAGCACCGGCUAACUACGUGCCAGCAGCCGCGGUAACAC
rnacentral:rRNA from 1 species